rnacentral:rRNA from 1 species
GGCUCAGUAGGUUGGUCGUGCCACCGGUACGUACUGGUCUCACUGAUUCCUCCUUCCUGAAGAACCGUAAUGCCAUUAAUUUGGUGUUGCGGGGAAACAGGACUGUUACUUUGAAAAAAUUAGAGUGCUUAAAGCAAGCUAACGCUUGAAUACAUUAGCAUGGAAUAAUGAAAUAGGACGAUCGAUCCUAUUUUGUUGGUUUCUAGGAUUGACGUA